rnacentral:rRNA from 1 species
UACGUAGGGCGCAAGCGUUGUCCGGAAUUAUUGGGCGUAAAGAGCUCGUAGGCGGUUUGUCGCGUCUGCUGUGAAAACCUAAGGCUCAACCUUGGGCUUGCAGUGGGUACGGGCAGACUAGAGUGCGGUAGGGGUGACUGGAAUUCCUGGAGUAGCGGUGGAAUGCGCAGAUAUCAGGAGGAACACCGGUGGCGAAGGCGGAUCUCUGGGCCUUACCUGACGCUCAGGUGCGAAAGCUAGGGGAGCGAACAGG